UCCCGGCUCGCAGCAAAGGUGGGCGGCCUCGGCCGCGAACGGUCCCUGCAGAGACGGGAAACAGCACCCGUACCUUUCAGGAAGCGUAUCCAUGCCUGCAGCCACCUGAGACUGCAAUGGGACCCGCAUUGCUGGGGCUGUCGCCACGCACAACAUGGCAGCCGGGACUGCGGGCGCCGGGAGACGAAGCCUCCCAGCGCGCUCCGCGGCCCCUCCCGUCCCAGGCCCGGCCACCCGCGGCACCCUGCGCGACCUGCUCGUGGGCGCGCCUGGCCACGGCGAGGCAUGGCUCUGGCCCGGAGCAGCACAGGACAGGCGGAGAGGAGGAAGCUGAAAAUAAACAAAAGAGAGAGCAGCUGGAACACUUGUGGAAGGACAUGGGCAGUGUGUGCGUGCAGGGCAGCACACUGGCAGGACCUGAUGCUUCUGCAAUGGGUCCCUCUGAGCUAAUACUAACAAUGAGGAACUCUUGAUGAAGAGCAAGAAGAGAGGGAGGGUGACACUGAUGACAUUGACCAUGAAGUAACACAAGUAGAACAAGUACUGAAAUAGCGCUGAACUGUCAUUUCUUCCCCCAGUGACUGAAGAGAGUCAUGAAGAACCAGCCUUCAGAAACUUUAUGCAGGACAUGUGGAUGAAAUGCCAGAGGAGAAGCAACCUGAAUGAAUGAGACCUUCAGAAACAGAAGUAACUUUUGGUCCGAUGAGUUAAAGGUCUUGCAGCCAACUAACUGCACAUUUGGCCAUCUGCCACUGUGGCUUCCUGAAGCUGAAGGAACCAGAAAGCAGUUUCUUUAACUGCAAAUUAUUCAGAUCUCUCUGUUGAGAGCUUAGAUUUUGAGCUCUGACAGCAUUAGCAUCCAGAGUACUCACUGGUCCCCAGAGGCACCUUCUGUUUGCUGAGUGCAGUCAGGCAUCUGCUGCAGCCAGGGCACAACUUGAUCGAUCCACUGUUUGAUGUUUUGCUUUUCAUUAAAUAGAUUUUACGUACUAAGAAA